rnacentral:rRNA from 1 species
AACGCGAAGAACCUUACCAGGGUUUGACAUGGAGUCGCACCACCCUGAAAAGGGUGUUCCUUCGGGACGACUACACAGGUGCUGCAUGGCUGUCGUCAGCUCGUGCCGUGAGGUGUUGGGUUAAGUCCCGCAACGAGCGCAACCCUUAUCGGUAGUUACAUUCACUACCGAGACUGCCCCGAUCAACGGGGAGGAAGGUGGGGAUGACGUCAAGUCAGCACGGCCCUUACAUCCUGGGCGACACACACGCUACAAUGGCCGGGACAGAGAGCCGCCAACCCGCGAGGGGGAGCGAAUCUCACAAAACCGGUCUCAGUUCGGAUUGCAGGCUGCAACCCGCCUGCAUGAAGCUGGAGUUGCUAGUAACCGUGGGUCAGCACACCACGGUGAAUACGUUCCCGGGCCUUGUA